rnacentral:lncRNA from 1 species
ACAGCGACAGACAUAUUCUAGUGAUGCAGACGAAUUGCAACAUACUGACCGCUAUAUUUCACCGAGAGUCAGUAUUAUAGAACUCAAAUUCAAACUGGAAGGAGGAUUUAAAGUUGUAUAGCUCGUCACUGAUGAGUCUUUUGUAGACGAUACGCGCGUCUGGCGCAAAUAAAAAUUUGAAUCCUGGUUUAUUUCCACGUCAUUUGGUUUCUGUGGAUAGGCUUAUUCGAA